rnacentral:rRNA from 1 species
GGUUAAGCGACUAAGCGUACACGGUGGAUGCCCUGGCAGUCAGAGGCGAUGAAGGACGUGCUAAUCUGCGAUAAGCGUCGGUAAGGUGAUAUGAACCGUUAUAACCGGCGAUUUCCGAAUGGGGAAACCCAGUGUGAUUCGUCACACUAUCAUUAACUGAAUCCAUAGGUUAAUGAGGCGAACCGGGGGAACUGAAACAUCUAAGUACCCCGAGGAAAAGAAAUCAACCGAGAUUCCCCCAGUAGCGGCGAGCGAACGGGGAGCAGCCCAGAGCCUGAAUCAGUGUGUGUGUUAGUGGAAGCGUCUGGAAAGGCGCGCGAUACAGGGUGACAGCCCCGUACACAAAAAUGCACAUACUGUGAGCUCGAUGAGUAGGGCGGGACACGUGGUAUCCUGUCUGAAUAUGGGGGGACCAUCCUCCAAGGCUAAAUACUCCUGACUGACCGAUAGUGAACCAGUACCGUGAGGGAAAGGCGAAAAGAACCCCGGCGAGGGGAGUGAAAAAGAACCUGAAACCGUGUACGUACAAGCAGUGGGAGCACGCUUAGGCGUGUGACUGCGUACCUUUUGUAUAAUGGGUCAGCGACUUAUAUUCUGUAGCAAGGUUAACCGAAUAGGGGAGCCGAAGGGAAACCGAGUCUUAACUGGGCGUUAAGUUGCAGGGUAUAGACCCGAAACCCGGUGAUCUAGCCAUGGGCAGGUUGAAGGUUGGGUAACACUAACUGGAGGACCGAACCGACUAAUGUUGAAAAAUUAGCGGAUGACUUGUGGCUGGGGGUGAAAGGCCAAUCAAACCGGGAGAUAGCUGGUUCUCCCCGAAAGCUAUUUAGGUAGCGCCUCGUGAAUUCAUCUCCGGGGGUAGAGCACUGUUUCGGCAAGGGGGUCAUCCCGACUUACCAACCCGAUGCAAACUGCGAAUACCGGAGAAUGUUAUCACGGGAGACACACGGCGGGUGCUAACGUCCGUCGUGAAGAGGGAAACAACCCAGACCGCCAGCUAAGGUCCCAAAGUCAUGGUUAAGUGGGAAACGAUGUGGGAAGGCCCAGACAGCCAGGAUGUUGGCUUAGAAGCAGCCAUCAUUUAAAGAAAGCGUAAUAGCUCACUGGUCGAGUCGGCCUGCGCGGAAGAUGUAACGGGGCUAAACCAUGCACCGAAGCUGCGGCAGCGACGCUGAUGCGUUGUUGGGUAGGGGAGCGUUCUGUAAGCCUGCGAAGGUGUGCUGUGAGGCAUGCUGGAGGUAUCAGAAGUGCGAAUGCUGACAUAAGUAACGAUAAAGCGGGUGAAAAGCCCGCUCGCCGGAAGACCAAGGGUUCCUGUCCAACGUUAAUCGGGGCAGGGUGAGUCGACCCCUAAGGCGAGGCCGAAAGGCGUAGUCGAUGGGAAACAGGUUAAUAUUCCUGUACUUGGUGUUACUGCGAAGGGGGGACGGAGAAGGCUAUGUUGGCCGGGCGACGGUUGUCCCGGUUUAAGCGUGUAGGCUGGUUUUCCAGGCAAAUCCGGAAAAUCAAGGCUGAGGCGUGAUGACGAGGCACUACGGUGCUGAAGCAACAAAUGCCCUGCUUCCAGGAAAAGCCUCUAAGCAUCAGGUAACAUCAAAUCGUACCCCAAACCGACACAGGUGGUCAGGUAGAGAAUACCAAGGCGCUUGAGAGAACUCGGGUGAAGGAACUAGGCAAAAUGGUGCCGUAACUUCGGGAGAAGGCACGCUGAUAUGUAGGUGAAGUCCCUCGCGGAUGGAGCUGAAAUCAGUCGAAGAUACCAGCUGGCUGCAACUGUUUAUUAAAAACACAGCACUGUGCAAACACGAAAGUGGACGUAUACGGUGUGACGCCUGCCCGGUGCCGGAAGGUUAAUUGAUGGGGUCAGCGCAAGCGAAGCUCUUGAUCGAAGCCCCGGUAAACGGCGGCCGUAACUAUAACGGUCCUAAGGUAGCGAAAUUCCUUGUCGGGUAAGUUCCGACCUGCACGAAUGGCGUAAUGAUGGCCAGGCUGUCUCCACCCGAGACUCAGUGAAAUUGAACUCGCUGUGAAGAUGCAGUGUACCCGCGGCAAGACGGAAAGACCCCGUGAACCUUUACUAUAGCUUGACACUGAACAUUGAGCCUUGAUGUGUAGGAUAGGUGGGAGGCUUUGAAGUGUGGACGCCAGUCUGCAUGGAGCCGACCUUGAAAUACCACCCUUUAAUGUUUGAUGUUCUAACGUUGACCCGUAAUCCGGGUUGCGGACAGUGUCUGGUGGGUAGUUUGACUGGGGCGGUCUCCUCCUAAAGAGUAACGGAGGAGCACGAAGGUUGGCUAAUCCUGGUCGGACAUCAGGAGGUUAGUGCAAUGGCAUAAGCCAGCUUGACUGCGAGCGUGACGGCGCGAGCAGGUGCGAAAGCAGGUCAUAGUGAUCCGGUGGUUCUGAAUGGAAGGGCCAUCGCUCAACGGAUAAAAGGUACUCCGGGGAUAACAGGCUGAUACCGCCCAAGAGUUCAUAUCGACGGCGGUGUUUGGCACCUCGAUGUCGGCUCAUCACAUCCUGGGGCUGAAGUAGGUCCCAAGGGUAUGGCUGUUCGCCAUUUAAAGUGGUACGCGAGCUGGGUUUAGAACGUCGUGAGACAGUUCGGUCCCUAUCUGCCGUGGGCGCUGGAGAACUGAGGGGGGCUGCUCCUAGUACGAGAGGACCGGAGUGGACGCAUCACUGGUGUUCGGGUUGUCAUGCCAAUGGCACUGCCCGGUAGCUAAAUGCGGAAGAGAUAAGUGCUGAAAGCAUCUAAGCACGAAACUUGCCCCGAGAUGAGUUCUCCCUGACCCUUUAAGGGUCCUGAAGGAACGUUGAAGACGACGACGUUGAUAGGCCGGGUGUGUAAGCGCAGCGAUGCGUUGAGCUAACCGGUACUAAUGAACCGUGAGGCUUAACCUU